GUAGGAGAUUUGCCGCUUGCAUUUCGUCCACUCCUGCCAGUCUUAGCUAUGGCGACAGCGCCACCGCGCCGGUCGCUGCUUCUGCUGUUACCGCAGCUUCUCCUCCUCCGCUCCUUGUUGGCCGCCGCCACGCCGUCGAUCACCACGAAAGCCGUGCCGCGGCUUCCCGGUUUCAGUGGACCCCUGCCCUUCUCCCUCGAAACAGGGUACGUGGAGCUGGACGACGGCGUCCGCCUCUUCUACUACUUCAUCCAGUCGGAGCGCGACCCGGAGGAGGACCCCGUCCUGCUCUGGCUCACCGGCGGCCCCGGAUGCUCCGCCCUCUCCGGCCUCGUCUACGAGAUCGGUCCUUUCUACUUCGACUUCGAGGGGUACACCGGGAGUGGACUGCCUACUCUGCUCUACAAACCAGCAUCUUGGACCCAGGUUAGCAAUGUCAUCUUCGUCGAUUCUCCGGCAGGGACAGGCUUCUCGUAUGACACCACGGGCAACAGAACCAUACCAAGUGACACCAUUGUCAUUCAACAGCUACACACCUUUCUCCAAACGUGGUUUGAUGAACACCCACAGUUUUUGCCCAAUCCGUUCUACGUUGCGGGUGAUUCGUAUAGCGGCAUAAUCAUACCUCCUCUUGCUAUGAAAAUUGCUAAAGGGAUAGAAUACGGUGAUGAGCGGCUCAUCAAUCUCAAGGGUGUCAUUGCUGGCAAUCCAUUAACUGAUCUAAUGUUGGACUUCAACUCUCGGGUUCCGUUUCUUCAUCGGAUGGGAAUCAUAUCGGAUGAACUCUACGAGGCUGCUCGUGAAGGCUGUAGAGGGCAAUACCGUAGCCCAUCGAACGCUGAUUGUGCCAAUUCCCUCCAAGCCAUUGACUAUAUCACAAGGGAUUUGAAUACUGCACACAUCUUGGAGAAAAAUUGUAUAGAAUAUCCAAGCCCCGCCAUUCAGAAGCGGCCGAGGUUGCAAGAUCAUGGUAGGAAAAGGCUAUUAGAGUCCGCAGUUUGGUCUAUCUGCAGGAAUUCCACCUACUUUCUGUCCGAGGUAUGGAUAAACGACGAACCUGUAAGGGAGAGUUUGGGUAUUCACAAGGGAACAGUUCCAUCAUGGCUACGAUGUGAUUUCGAUAUACCUUACACAAAGGAAAUCACCGAUGCAGUGGAUGGUCAUUUAGCAUUGAUUGCUAAAGGAUACCGGGCCAUGAUCUACAGCGGCGACCAUGAUGCUAGUAUACCUUAUGUUGGCACCCAAGCAUGGAUCAGAAAACUUAACCUGCCCAUCACAGAUAAUUGGCGACCAUGGUAUGUGGACGGCCAAGUUGUUGGGUUCACAAGAACUUACUCCAACAAUCUGACAUAUGCAACUGUAAAGGGUGCUGGACACACAGCCCCGGAGUACAUGCCCAAGGAGUGUCUUGCCAUGAUCGAUAGAUGGCUCUCGGGUGAACCUCUUUGAGGGGUCAACUGAUGUUGGGUGCACGUGGAGAUUCUUAAUGUCAAUUGUAUAUUUAAGGUUCCUUCGUCAGCAGAAUCCGAAGUAUGCUGCGAAGCAUCGCAUAUGAAUCAGAUCAAUGUUUCACCCUCAAGUAACACUCCAUAGAUAAACUUAGUGUGCAGCGAUCCCCAGUGGAAAAAGAGAAAUGAAAGGUACAAAAAAGACUGCUUACAAGCAAAACAUGGUGUAUUAAUGACUCAUCUAUUGAGAUAAUGCACAUAUGGAAGGAAGAGCAGAUACGAUUGUUUACCUCAUGUGAUGACUCAUCGUCCUCAGCCCCAGGUCCGCCAGCUGCUGAAGAACACGGACCAUGCUGCAGACAGGCACACAAGGAUGAAAAUCUGAACCCUCACUUGGACAAUAAAUCAACUUAAAUUUACCUGUGGAAUGUUUGGUGACGCCAUGCUAAGCAUACUCUCUUCCAAAGACUGGAACCUGUUCUCCCAAGUUUCAUUCAACUGCUGUGUGGCGCGAUUGAUCAUCUCCUGAACCUGAUCCUGAGUGAACAUUUGUGUUGUAUUUCGACCAGAAGAACCUGAGGUGGACUUCAAAGGGCCUAUUUGGGCUUUGUCAAUGAUACCAGGAAGUCCAUAGUACCUCCCUCGCUUGCGUCCCCCUACCUCCUGUGACCAUGCAAGAUGGGGGUCUAGUCCAGUAUCACCUGCCUCCUUCAAACGCCGCUGGAAAGCCUCCUGAAAGACAUACCUAAUUCUAGUUAAUUCGUCAAACUGACUUCUGCGACAUUGCAAUGUACUUAUUAACCCACUUAUGAUACAAAUGACUGAAUACGUACCAUGGUCUGCCUAGCUUUCUCAGUAA